UACGUAGGGGGCAAGCGUUGUCCGGAUUUAUUGGGCGUAAAGAGCGUGUAGGCGGCUUUACAGGUCCGUUGUGAAAACUCGAGGCUCAACCUCGAGACGCCGGUGGAAACCGUAAAGCUAGAGUCCGGAAGAGGAGAGUGGAAUUCCUGGUGUAGCGGUGAAAUGCGCAGAUAUCAGGAGGAACACCCGUGGCGAAAGCGGCUCACUGGACCACAACUGACGCUGAUGCGCGAAAGCUAGGGGAGCAAACAGG
rnacentral:rRNA from 1 species